UACAGAGGUGCCAAGCGUUAGGCGGAAUCACUGGGCUUAAAGCGCGUGUAGGUGGGUCGUUAAGUGUCCGCGUGAAAUCCCACGGCUCAACCUCGAGACGUCGGCGGAAACCAUCUGGCUAGAGUCCGGAAGAGGAGAGUGGAAUUCCUGGUGUAGCGGUGAAAUGCGCAGAUAUCAGGAAGAACACCCGUGGCGAAGGCGGCUCUCUGGGACGGUACUGACGCUGAGACGCGAAAGCGUGGGGAGCGAACAGG
rnacentral:rRNA from 1 species